AGUGAACGCUGGCGGUAGGCCUAACACAUGCAAGUCGAACGGCAGCACAGGAGAGCUUGCUCUCUGGGUGGCGAGUGGCGGACGGGUGAGGAAUACAUCGGAAUCUACUCUGUCGUGGGGGAUAACGUAGGGAAACUUACGCUAAUACCGCAUACGACCUACGGGUGAAAGCAGGGGACCUUCGGGCCUUGCGCGAUUGAAUGAGCCGAUGUCGGAUUAGCUAGUUGGCGGGGUAAAGGCCCACCAAGGCGACGAUCCGUAGCUGGUCUGAGAGGAUGAUCAGCCACACUGGAACUGAGACACGGUCCAGACUCCUACGGGAGGCAGCAGUGGGGAAUAUUGGACAAUGGGCGCAAGCCUGAUCCAGCCAUACCGCGUGGGUGAAGAAGGCCUUCGGGUUGUAAAGCCCUUUUGUUGGGAAAGAAAUCCAGUUAGCUAAUACCCGGUUGGGAUGACGGUACCCAAAGAAUAAGCACCGGCUAACUUCGUGCCAGCAGCCGCCGUAA
rnacentral:rRNA from 1 species